GCAGGCCAGCUGCUGAGGCGGGAGGAAGGCGUUGCGGCUACCGCUAGCCCUUCCCUCUCCGCCCCAGGGCUGGCGCGCGGAUAAAAAAAAAUGGCGAAAUGCGGGGUAGCCGGUGGGGAACCCGACGGGAUGGGGCGCGGAGGUGGCACUGUUGUGGGAGCCUGCUGAGGUGAGCGCAGCUGACCUGGCGACCUCGGGCCGGCGCCUGACAGCGCAGACACGGACUCCGAGGGUCGCCGAGGGCCCCGCCGAGAGCCGGAGGCAAUGGAUGAGCAGAGUGUGGAGAGCAUUGCUGAGGUUUUCCGAUGUUUCAUUUGUAUGGAGAAAUUGCGGGAUGCUCGACUGUGUCCUCAUUGCUCCAAGCUCUGUUGUUUCAGCUGUAUUAGGCGCUGGCUGACAGAGCAAAGAGCUCAGUGUCCUCACUGUCGUGCUCCACUCCAGCUACGGGAACUGGUGAACUGUCGUUGGGCGGAAGAAGUGACACAGCAGCUUGACACUCUCCAGCUGUGUAGUCUCACC
rnacentral:lncRNA from 1 species